GUAGUCGUGGCCGAGUGGUUAAGGCGUUGGACUAGAAAUCCAUUGGACUUUGCCCGCGCAGGUUCGAAUCCUGCCGACUACG
rnacentral:tRNA from 1 species